GUAAAGAAUAGUCUUGGCCAAAAAAAACCCAAAGAUGAUGCAAGAAUAACAACAUUAAAGGACAAGAUGCAAGAAAUACAUUUAGACAUAGAGAGAAACCCAAAGAAGUACAAAGAAUCGACAAUCAGAAUUAUGAGAAAUCUCAAAAGAAUGGAAAAGGCAAGCAAGGAAAUCAGGAAAGGUGAAGCAAAAAAGAAAGAAAAAGGGCCAAUAGAAGAGA